UACGGAAGGCAGCAGUGGGGAAUAUUGCACAAUGGGCGCAAGCCUGAUGCAGCCAUGCCGCGUGUAUGAAGAAGGCCUUCGGGUUGUAAAGUACUUUCAGUCGUGAGGAAGGUGUUAAGGUUAAUAACCUUAGCAAUUGACGUUAGCGACAGAAGAAGCACCGGCUAACUCCGUGCCAGCAGCCGCGGUAAUACGGAGGGUGCGAGCGUUAAUCGGAAUUACUGGGCGUAAAGGGCACGCAGGCGGUUAAUUAAGUUGGAUGUGAAAUCCCCGGGCUUAACCUGGGAAUGGCAUUCAAGCUGGUUAGCUAGAGUCUUGUGGAGGGGGUGAAUUCCAUGUGUAGCGGUGAAAUGCGUAGAGAUGUGGAGGAAUACCGGUGGCGAAGGCGGCCCCUGGGCAAAGGCUGACGCUCAUGUGCGAAAGCGUGGGGAGCGAAACAGGGAUUAGAUACC
rnacentral:rRNA from 1 species